UACGUAGGGUGCAAGCGUUGUCCGGAAUUAUUGGGCGUAAAGAGCUCGUAGGCGGUUUGUCGCGUCUGCCGUGAAAGUCCGGGGCUCAACUCCGGAUCUGCGGUGGGUACGGGCAGACUAGAGUGAUGUAGGGGAGACUGGAAUUCCUGGUGUAGCGGUGAAAUGCGCAGAUAUCAGGAGGAACACCGAUGGCGAAGGCAGGUCUCUGGGCAUUAACUGACGCUGAGGAGCGAAAGCGUGGGGAUCAAACAGG
rnacentral:rRNA from 1 species